CCUACGGGAGGCAGCAGUGAGGAAUAUUGGUCAAUGGACGCAAGUCUGAACCAGCCAUGCCGCGUGCAGGAAGACGGCUCUAUGAGUUGUAAACUGCUUUUGUACGAGGGUAAAUCCCGAUACGUGUAUCGGGUUGAAAGUAUCGUACUAAUAAUGAUCGGCUAACUCCGUGCCAGCAGCCGCGGCAAUACGGAGGAUUCAAGCGUUAUCCGGAUUCAUUGGGUUUAAAGGGUGCGUAGGCGGUUCGAUAAGUUAGAGGUGAAAUCCCGGGGCUCAACUCCGGCACUGCCUCUGAUACUGUCGGGCUAGAGUUUAGUUGCGGUAGGCGGAAUGUAUGGUGUAGCGGUGAAAUGCAUAGAGAUCAUACAGAACACCGAUUGCGAAGGCAGCUUACCAAACUACGACUGACGUUGAGGCACGAAGGCGUGGGGAGCGAACAGGAUUAGAUACCCCAGUAGUC
rnacentral:rRNA from 1 species